CAAGAAUAAAAAGAAGAAAUAAAAAGAGGAAGAAAAAUAACAAAAGUUGCAACACACGCUGGCAUUGCAUCGAAUUGCAUUUCAUUGCGAAUUGGAGUCCCUGUGCGUACAACGAGACAUGCACAGGUUAUAUGUGUAUACAGGUAUUGCAGGUCUAAACAUCACGCGGUACGUUGUUAUCCAAUGGUACGUAACCGAUCGGAGGUUGCCUCAUAUUCCGGCAGAAGAGAAAAAGGAGGAAAAAAAAAAAAAGGAAUGGUAAUGAUAAAUUUUGCAUUAUAAAAAACUUACGUCUACAACGUCGAGCGAUUCUAUACGAUUGUGCGACAUAUCAAGGAUCGAAAUUGAAUCUAAAUCCUUGAGGUGUUCAAGGCCAGAUGAAUCCUUAAGGUAAUUGUGAGAUAGAUUUAACGUCUUCAAGUUUUUCAGACUACCUGAAAGACGUGAAUAGCGUGUGAAGAAAG
rnacentral:misc_RNA from 1 species